rnacentral:rRNA from 1 species
CCUAGGGUGGCUGCAGUGGGGAAUAUUGGACAAUGGGCGAAAGCCUGAUCCAGCCAUGCCGCGUGUGUGAAGAAGGCCUUCGGGUUGUAAAGCACUUUCAGUGGGGAAGAAAGCCUUGGGGCUAAUACCCUCGAGGAAGGACAUCACCCACAGAAGAAGCACCGGCUAACUCCGUGCCAGCAGCCGCGGUAAUACGGAGGGUGCGAGCGUUAAUCGGAAUUACUGGGCGUAAAGCGCGCGUAGGCGGUCUGAUAAGCCGGUUGUGAAAGCCCCGGGCUCAACCUGGGAACGGCAUCCGGAACUGUCAGGCUAGAGUGCAGGAGAGGAAGGUAGAAUUCCCGGUGUAGCGGUGAAAUGCGUAGAGAUCGGGAGGAAUACCAGUGGCGAAGGCGGCCUUCUGGACUGACACUGACGCUGAGGUGCGAAAGCGUGGGUAGCAAACAGGAUUAGAUACCCCGGUAGUC